AAAAACAUAAAACGGCCAUACCGGGUCAGACCAAAGGUCCAUCUAGCCCAAGAUCCUGUUUUCCGGCAGUGACUGGAGCCAGAUGCUUCAGAGGGAGAGAACAGAACAGGGCAAUUUAUUGAACAAGUGAUCCAUCCCCAGC